CCAGUAUCUCACUACCAUUGAUCUGUGUAAGGGAUACUGGCAGAUUCCACUAGCCGAGGAGGCCAUCCCCAAGUCGGCGUUUGUCACCCCGUUUGGCCUCUAUCAAUUUCUGGUCAUGCCUUUCGGGAUGAAAAACGCUCCGGCUACCUUUCAGAGGAUGGUAGAUCGGCUACUGGACGGGUUCCAAGAGUACGCCUGUGCGUACUUAGAUGAUAUAGCCAUUUAUAG